rnacentral:sRNA from 1 species
UCAGAAAUAGUGCGAGACCGACCAUCGU